CUUUUUCCACAGUCUCUGCUCUAAUAUCCGGAAGAGCUUCACAUUCUUGUCAGAUAAUCCAUGAUUGUUAGGAUGUAUUUGUGCCCGUGACUUGUCAAAUUAAGUGGUCGUACGAUGUCCAUAGAAACAAGUCCAAAAGUGCAUGAUGGUACUGGUACAGUUUGAAGUUCUGACGGUUUUUGUGGGUGUUUUUUUCUAAUGUUACAUGAGUGGCAUACUUUACAAUAUUUUCGGAUUACUUGGGUCAUUCCCCUCUAAUAGCUGUUUCGUUUAACGAGUUCUAUGGUCUUCUUUCUGUCACCAUGUGCCAUAAAGUUGAAUCGUGAUUCAGCUGAAUUUUUCUCUGCAUACGUUUUGGUACUAUGAAUUUAUCUUGUCGUUUGUCUCCUGCUCGUUGUUUGUAGCAAAGUACGUUUGGUGUCUUACAGAAUCUUUCCUGUUGUGAUUAAACCUAAACUUCAAAGUCAUCUCGAUUUUUCAAAGUUUCUUCAAGAUCAUAGAUAAUUGGUGCACAUUCUGGGUAUGGUUUAUCUUGGUCAAUCAAAUUUACAGUCAACUCGUCUUCAGGGCAACGGAGUCGUGUAAAGUCACCAACGCGAUGUCGUUUUCCUGGUCUAUAUUAUAAGUCGAAGUCAUAUUCUGCGAGACUCAAGGGCCCAUCUUACAAGUCUUGAACUUGGAUUUCGGAUGGUUACGAGAUAUUUCAACGGUAGGUGGUCAGUAACGAUAGUGAAUAUUGGUCCCGUUAAAUAAUUUCGGAAGUACUUUUGCUGGCCAUACGUAGAUAAAGCUUCGCGUUUUAUGGUACUGUAUCGAGUCUCAGCAUCAUUUAAAAGAUAACUAGCGUAACAGACUAAAUGUUCAAUUUCAUAUUGUUGUGACAGCAUGGCACUGAUUGCAUUCAAUUCCAGAAGCGUGUAUUAAAAGCCUUAGUUAGCUUGUUUUUCUAUCCUUUUUAGUGAGUUCCGUUAGUGGCUUCACUAUUUCAGGAAUAAAUCUUCUAUAAAAACCACAAAGUCCCAAAAAGGAUCUAAUUUCCUUUGGAUUUCUUGAUAUAGUAGAAGUCUCUACAAUUCACGUUUUCUCUGGGUCUGUGUUUACUCCAUCAGUGGUUAUAAUAAGUCCCAAAUACUUUGCUUUCUUUAUAUAGAAAUUGCAGUUUGUCGGAUUUAAUUUUUAAAUUGGCUUCUCUCAUCGUGUCAAAAACGUUUCUGGAGUUUUUCUGGAUGUUUUUUCUCAAGGUCCCAAGAGCACUGAAUACUAUCACAUCAUUGAGGUACACUAGGCAUUCAGCUCCAACAAGUCUUAGAAAGACUGAGUACAUCAGUCUAUGCCAUGUGCUUGGUGCAUUUCUCAGUCCCAUUCUUUUGAAUUUAUAGUGACUUGUGGGUGUGCUAAAAGCACUGAUUUCUCGAGCGUCUGGGUGUAGGUAGUUCAACUUCGAAAUAACCGCUAGCCAUAUCCAUUAUGGAACAAAACAUGCUCCUGACAACUGAUCAACGGUCUCCUGAAGAACCGACAGGUGAAAGAAAUCCGUUUUUGUUAUCCUUUUUAAUUCUAUAUAGUCUGCACAAUCGAAAUUCCGGUUCCUCUCCUGGCUGGCAACUUUAACAACGAAACGGACAGUGAUGGGAGUGAUACCAGUAAUGGCAUCCAUACUGCUAAUGAGUUUCUUAGUGAAUCAGAUGAAGAGGGGCCGAUCAGGUCAGCUGGCAGAAGGGGUAGUAAUGACUUUGGUCAUCCUAAUAGCGUACCCGACAUUAGCCCCUGUCCGUCGUGGUAGUAGAAUUUAGGACUCCUUGGACUUUUUGUAAUUCUAGAUAGGCCAAUCAAGUAUAGACAAUUUACGGGCCACGUUGAAUCCAGGAGAAAACAGAAGACGGAAAAGGCUGGAAAACUCCCAAGGAAGUUUUUCGUUGGAAACAACGGAAUGAUAAUAGGAUAUAACAUUUGCCAGAUUGAUGUAAUGGGAAUUUAUGAAGGGGUAGUAAUCAACUUAAUCGGAGUUUUUUUGGUGGCUCUGGGAUACCCCACCUAGGGAAUAAUUCUUCUUCUGGUUUUUGGAAUGUUCAAAAAGAAAAGAGAAAUGAGGGAGGAGUCCUUAUUCAAUCACCCAGGCGAGAUUAAACUGGUUGAGUUCUAUUAAGACCUUAUUCUCGGAAGACUGCACGUCGGAUGGGAGCUUUAAUUACUAGGGAGUUUUGCACAUCUAGAAACACGUAACCAGAAGAGAAGAACUAGAACAUGAAAGAGGAGAACUUCUGAGUUACAUCUUCAGCGAUCCUCUUUUAGACGUGGCUAAAUGCUAUCGGCCGAGACCUAGGAGGUGGUGGCUUACGCCACGUUGACCCUAGAUGGAAUUUGUGAAACGACUGUUAGGUCCAUAUUGGAGAAGAUUGACUGUCCCAACGGCACCCUACUUAUGGCUAUGAAUAUUGUAUAUCUACCGGUGAGAAUGAGUGGAGCCCUCAUCUAUGUUAUUCGAAUAAGAGAGUUCCCGUUGGAUUGGUUGGGUAUUGGUGCUUUAUUGGGGACGGUGUGUUUAGCAACUUCCUUGUAAGGGAGCCACAGGAAGUUGUCGGACUAGAGAAGGAGUUGAAAAUAGGAAGAUACUACCUCAGAAGACAUUGCGUGCGGUUCUGGUAAAACUAGAUGAAUAAUCCCAAACUGGUGCAGGUCAAGCAAGAAAAGCGUAGAUUGUGUAUGUUGGCCCCGACCAGAGUUAUCGCCCGAGAAAUGGGAGGCAUCGGCUUCCUCGUGAGAAGAAUACUCCAGUCACAUCCCUGUGUAAAAGAUUGCUCAAAAAAGGAGAAGGCUUUGCUGAGAGAAGGAAGAUGGGCAUGAUUGGAAUAAGUGCAACCACCUUCGACAGAACGAGACGAGAGAGCAACUUCUCAAUAACCAAUUACGAGGAGAACGAGAACAAUUAUCUCGAUGAUCUUGAAAGUGAGAAGAAAACAAUGAUAUUUGUUGAAAACAGAAAAAGAGUGGAUGACAAAUUAAAAUUGGACAUUUUGGAGAGGUACCCCGGAACGGAGGUGUCGAUAUUUAGUCGAAGCACUUAUGAGGCAAACUAUAGGAGAGCUCAGGAGAUGAAUUAGUCAAAACAAUGCCGAAAAAAUAAACUUGAAAAAACAGUCGGGGCUCCGAAAGAAGAUAAAGUUGGAGGAAGAGGAGGAAGAUCACGCAGAAGAUCGAAAGAGCGUGAAAAAGCACAUCCUAGAAGUGGAGGACGUCCAGGACAUCGACGAUAUACGCUGGGGAAAAAUAUUAACCGCUAUUAUUAGGGAGUCAAGUUAGGUAACUAAGAGUUUGCUUGAGAAUUUACGUUAAUAAUGCGCGUAUUAUUAAAUAAAUGCUCUUGCAAUACUCAACAACAGAAAAGUUAAAUUAAAAAAAAGGGGUGCUAUCAACGUGCUUAGAGUGGUAACCACACUAAGUUUUUGACAUGAUGCAAAAAAAACACUAACAAAAAAUCACUAUUAAUAAAAGUAACAUGACGUUAGCUAAGAUUGAUUAGGGUAAACUUAGUUUCUGUUAAAUGUUUAGCAUCAAUGUAAAAGUAGCACUUAAAAUUUUUUCAUUAUAAUUUCUAAAAAGUUAAUAAUAACUUUGUGUUCUCGGUACACGACAUCAACUUUGGCAACGGUCAACUCCACUGCUGGGAGACAAAGGUAUCAAAUGACCCAACGACACUAGAAGCGUACGCACAUGACCACACUCAACAAAAAGUGGAUUACGACACUGACUACAAAAGGGUUUCGAGAUCCAGACAAAAACGUCAAAAAAGGAUCUCCCAGGAGACUAUGAUCACCGAUAAGCCAGUCCCAAAAUCUAAAUACCAGGACCCAAAAACCAUGACCUUUCGGCCACACCGAAAUUCUGUACUCAAACCUAGGACCCGUUACUAUCCGCCACGUAUUUACAAGUCUGCCAGAAACCUACCCGUUGAGGAAAGUGUGGUGACAACAAACACUACUUCUUCUGGUGACUAAAAGUACUAAGUGCGUCAAGUUCUUGUCAUGUAACUGCAAUAAAACUGUACCUACAUAAACGAAAUUUUUGAACCCAGCAGCUGACCUUAUGUCUUGUCGUAUACAAAUAUUGUUAUUACUUUCGGGAUAUUGUGUUUGUAUAUUUUGUACCCAACAUUAAAUUCUUGCCAUUUUGUAUUAGGUUAAGUUAGUUUAAGGUAAUACAAUCCCAGCAGGGAUUGUCGCCCGGGGGGGAGGGUGAUGUCGGGAGGUACGCGAGGAUGAGGGAUUACUCUCGGUGAGACCGAGGAGAGACGCCCUGUUUCCAAAAACAAACAAUGCGACAGGACCUGUGGGGUUGGAAACUACUUGAGGGCGGCUGUACCGUCUUGGAAGAAAACCAUAAAGUUGAGUCGGGUUGUUACAUUUGACGAAACAAGCUGUUAAUUAUUAUUCCGAAUAAACUGAUAUUUUAGGCCUCUGGCUUUUAUUUUAGUUUAGUGUAACCGUUCGGGGGUCUGGCCUUGUCAAAAUAUUUAGUUUUGAGGUGAUCGUCUAGAGAUUGUUUGGAAGACCGCUACGUUGUCGUGUAGAUUUGGAGAUUCGUUAUUUCAAGCACUGUGUGUCUGGGAAAAGAAAACGCAGAGUUCGGCCCAAAAUGUUUAUUCACUAAAUUUACAGUCAUUGGUGAUAGUAUGCAACACGUUAUACAAUUCAGAACUAAUCGAGUGUUGAAUCUCGGAGAACUGAGCGGGAAAUUUGAAUGCAAAGUUGAUUACUCGGACCCAACCUGGUGAUUCUAGAAAGACGGUUGCAAGAGGGACUCCCAGAGGUUCCGACCACCGCGUGCUCUCCAUUCCCUAACCUUGGGUAUACAUCUCUCCCCAAGCCCCGGGGGAAAAGCUAGGCUCUCUUUUGAAUUGGCAUGUUUUGUAGUUGGGCCAUUGCACUCACUGGGACUGCCGAGGUCUUUUUCCCUAGUGUGAUGGCAAGUUCCAAAGGGAGACAGAAAGAUAGUUACUACUCAAACAUGCAGCCAAAUUAAGCCUUCGUAAUCAACAGUUUGUUUUAAUUAAGCAAAAGAGCUCUCGUCAAAUUCAACACGUACAUAUCACGUGCUCCUAACUAAACUUAAGUAUUUUUACAGUAAGCGAAAGUCUGGUAAAAUAAAUGACAUUAAAGGAUUAAGUUUGCGCUCUGUGGAAAAAAGAAUAAUUAACGCUCUGUAAAAGAAAAGA